CCGAUUUCAAAUGUCAGAAAGUACUUCCUUGGGAGUAAGAACAGACUCUCGGAAUCCCACUUAAUAACAAGGGGCUGAAUUUUCAGCUGGCUGAAAUCUCCACAAGCCCAACCCAACGAAUUUACAAGGAGCUCAGAUAUGUCCUGCUCAGCCUGAAAGUGAGAACCUCCUCCAUAUGUUUGCCCUCCAACUCCUCACAAUGAAGACUCUGAAUCAUCCCCAGCCAACUGUAUAUUUGUUAUUUGCUGCAUUUAUUUCCAAUUCCAGGAUUAAGAAAAUGACUCCAGUACUAUGACAUCCAUACAAUUAAAUGUAUCAUUUUCCCAUCGACUGGCUGGCUGUGCCAAGCCGGGCAGCUUGGUUGCUGUUGCCAUAUGGAACACAUCUCUGCCUGCACAAGCCUCGAACGUGACAAUUAGAUGAGGGCUGGGUUCCCUUUGCAUCCAUGAGCAACGAAGCACUCUGGAAGCACUUAGUGGGGCUGAGAGGACCUCACUGUAUUAGCAGAGCAAAGGGUAUCUCUCAGUCCUUUCCACUGGGACUGAACCCUGAGCCUGAACCAUCAGCCCCUGGGAAGGUGAUGUCUCCAAGCGCUCCUGCGCCAAGCAGCACCAGGACCCCACUCCGUGUCUCCCCUCCAUAUACAUCCUGGCAGAAAACAUUACACAAAGAACAAUUCUGGAGCAACCAGACCCUGUGGCCAUUUAUCUGGGGCUUUCCUCAGCGCCUGCCAGCUCCUGAGAUGACCUUGAUCUCAUUCAAGUUCCCUCUGCUCCCGAGGUUGGGUUACACCCAUGGUCCUGGACUCUGUUUUAAGUCUCCCGUGAAUAACCGUGUCAGAUCUUCACACAGCUAUCUCAGGAAUGCGGCCAGGCUGAUCUCCAUACUUACUCAAGGUGACAUUGAUUCAUUUUGCCUCUCACUGGACGGAGUGGAGAAAACAGCCCAAAACACUGGGAAUGGAAACUCUUGCUGCUUGUCCAUGGUCUACUGCGUGCUUGCUAGGGGGCCUCCCUGAAGGCAAAAUAGCUGCUGAAAUGUCUGCACCUUUCCUGUAAAUCAACCCUAUUUUUCAAGUUUUAAAAAUAGGAGCAAAAGCAAAACGGUGCCCACAGGACAUUCUGUGCAGGUUGAAGUCCAUGCACAUGCUGUCUGUGGCAAGCUGGGGCAAAGAGCAGGUUUGAUGAGACACCGCCAAACAAAAACCCUGGGGUUCU
ensembl:lncRNA